AUGAAUGCUGGCGGCGUGCCUAACACAUGCAAGUCGAGCGAACCCGCAAGGGUUAGCGGCAGACGGGUGAGUAACACCUAGCGAACGUACCCCUGACAUGGGCAUAACUCGCCGAAAGGCGAGCUAAUUCCCAAUAUGCUCACAGGCUGAGAUGCCAGUGAGGAAAGCUUUAACGGUCAGGGAGCGGGCUAGGUCCUAUCAGCUAGUUGGCGGGGUAAAGGCCCACCAAGGCGAUGACGGGUAGGGGAUCUGAGAGGAUGUUCCCCCACAGUGGCACUGAGACACGGGCCACACUCCUACGGGAGGCAGCAGUUGGGAAUCGUUCGCAAUGGGCGCAAGCCUGACGACGCGACGCCGCGUGGAGGAAGAAGGCCUUCGGGUCGUAAACUCCUUUUCCCAGGGAAGAUACUGACGGUACCUGGGGAAUAAGGACCGGCUAACUACGU
rnacentral:rRNA from 1 species